rnacentral:tRNA from 1 species
GCCGAAAUGGCGGAACUGGUAGACGCGCUGGACUCAAAAUCCAGUGACCUCAAAGUCGUGUGGGUUCGAGUCCCACUUUCGGUA